GGAGGCCUAGUGGAUAAGGUGAUUGACUGAAGAUCAAAAGGUCGCCGGUUCGAUCCCCAGCUCCA
rnacentral:tRNA from 1 species